rnacentral:rRNA from 1 species
UACGUCGGGGGCAAGCGUUGUCCGGAAUCAUUGGGCGUAAAGAGCGUGUAGGCGGCCAGAAAAGUCCGCUGUGAAAACUCGAGGCUCAACUUCGAGCUGUCGGUGGAAACUUUCUGGCUAGAGUCCGGAAGAGGAGAAUGGAAUUCCUGGUGUAGCGGUGAAAUGCGCAGAUAUCAGGAGGAACACCGGUGGCGAAGGCGGGUCUCUGGGCAACAACUGACGCUGAGGAGCGAAAGCGUGGGGAGCGAACAGG